CGAAACGCCGAUUUUCUAGGAUUUUCAUCAUGGAAUCGUUUAAGAUUUACACCUAUAGGUAUUCUCUCAUACCUCAUGUGUGUAUUGAGUCAUUUUCAAACCGGAACUUCCUCCCUCCCACGCUUUUAAUCUCAAAUUAAAAUAGAGAAUAUUUCUAUCCAAUCAUAUUGACGCGCAUAACACUAUAAUAUCGGAUUUGCCGUUUAUGAGUUAUAACAGUAUGCAGUUUAGA